UGCUGAAACCAGAGUGGAAUAAUCAGUUCAAGCUGCGACAGCCCAGAUUCAGGCUGGACAUCAGGGGAAGCUUCCUCACAGUCAGAGCAAUACGGCAGCGGAGCCAGCUCCCUGGAGAGUGGGCGGCUCUCCCACACUGGAGACAGUCA